CUCCUGUUCAGAAAGACAUUAUAAGCCCUUGAACAUUGUGAACAAAAGCAUCACUAACAGCUAUAUAAUCAGAUGAAGCUGCAGAUCAUGAGUAAGAGGAGGGGAUUGGAUUCAAGAGUCAAUAUGGGUGUAGCUUCCUUCUUUCGUUGGAUGAUUCUAGUCAUCUUCAUUGCUUCGAUCUUCACUAUUCAUAUGGCUGAGGGACUUUCAGCUUUGGCAGAUCCCAUCCGAAAGACAAUUCGCAGAGAGAUGGCAAGCCCUCCCCCACCUCCCAUUCCAGGCAAAUUAAAGAAUCAGAACCCACCUGAGAGUCCAGCUCCUACACCUGGAUUGUUUUAAGACCAUAGAAGGAAGUAAUAAAAGUUCUACAAGUACUAGUAGUCUGUUGGGAGGUUAAUUCCCUUAACUAGCUAGUUUGCCAUAAAAAUGACUGAUUGAUGCCUCGUGCUCUUUCUUUCCAUUGAUUUAUGUAUCAACUAUUUCCAUCUGCAACAUGUUGACAUGGUUAUGUUUA